UUGUCUCAGACCUGUUUGUGCUGUAGUUGUUAUCAGGAUGUCACAACGGAUCUGGGAUCAGU
rnacentral:pre_miRNA from 1 species